AGAGUAAGAAGGUAAUCGAUAAAAAGAAAAAGAAUAAAAACAACAAGCAGAUUCUUUUCUUCAUGUUUUUGACUUUUUUUUUUUAGCAAUGCUUUUUUUUCCUA
rnacentral:ribozyme from 15 species